UGGAGCUAACAGCUCCCACAGACACUCACAGCUACUAAGAGAAGUUCCAGAGGGAGCGGUAGCACUGAAGACACUGGUGAAGAGAUCAAGCUCUCCUGCUCUCCUCCCUCCAGCCACUGUUAUCAGGAGCAGAAACCAGGACAGAUGGAGGUAAACAGGCAGAUAUACCAGUACAGACCUUUUCAACUCCACACUGGAUCUUUCUCUACCUGGCCUCGCAGCCACCAGAAUGGACACACUGCCCGUCCAUCUGUUGCCAUUGGCGAUGGAGGAGUUCCCUCAGCCUGUGGUCCCUGGUGUCCGGCUCUGCAGCAGGGGCCACCGGGAGCCCCGCCUCCGGAUGCAGACACACCCCUCCUCCUUCUCUGACAUCACAGAGGAAGAGGAUCAGGCCCUUUGCUCUUUCCUGAAGACCCUGGAGAGCCUGAGGUGGAGUACCCAGGGGUGGCCGUGCAGGAUGUGAGGACCACCCUCUCAGGAGACGCUGUGUACCAAAGCAAUAGCAGAGGUGACUUCCCUGUGACUCCUCUACGCCCUUCUAUAGACUGCCUGGCACUGAGGCAGGACUGUGGCAGACAGGAUAUAGAACAGGCUGUUGACUGUUUAUCAUUGUUUACAAUUAUAUAUUGGUAUUUAGGUCAAUAUUUUGGUAUGAUGCAACUGUUUUUUGUUGUUUCAUUGCUUCCUGGAAAGCAUGUGCAUCAUUAACGUUUUAUGUAAAAAUAAAAAUAUUUUAAAAA